GACGAACGCUGGCGGCGUGCUUAACACAUGCAAGUCGAACGGAAAGGCCCUGCUUUUGUGGGGUGCUCGAGUGGCGAACGGGUGAGUAACACGUGAGUAACCUGCCCUUGACUUUGGGAUAACUUCAGGAAACUGGGGCUAAUACCGGAUAGGAGCUCCUGCUGCAUGGUGGGGGUUGGAAAGUUUCGGCGGUUGGGGAUGGACUCGCGGCUUAUCAGCUUGUUGGUGGGGUAGUGGCUUACCAAGGCUUUGACGGGUAGCCGGCCUGAGAGGGUGACCGGCCACAUUGGGACUGAGAUACGGCCCAGACUCCACGGGAGGCAGCAGUGGGGAAUAUUGCACAAUGGGCGGAAGCCUGAUGCAGCAACGCCGCGUGCGGGAUGACGGCCUUCGGGUUGUAAACCGCUUUCGCCUGUGACGAAGCGUGAGUGACGGUAAUGGGUAAAGAAGCACCGGCUAACUACGUG
rnacentral:rRNA from 1 species